GACGAACGCUGGCGGCGUGCCUAAUACAUGCAAGUAGAACGCAGUUUCGAACGGGUGAGUAUCGCGUAGGUAACUGCCUCAUAGCGGGGGAUCACUAUUUGAAACGAUAGCUAAUACCGCUUACUGUGACAUGGAUCUGCGUUGUAUUAGCUAGUUGGUGAGGUAAAGGGUCACCAAGGCGAAGAUACAUAGCCGACCUGGGAGGGGGGUCGGCCACACUGGGACAGUGAGACGGCCAAGGCACCGACGGGAGGCAGCAGUAGGGGAACUUCGGCAAUGAACGGAAGUCUGACCGAGCAACGCCGCUGGAGUGAAGAAGGUUUUCGGAGCGUAAAGCUCUGUUGAGAGAGAAGCGGUAACUAGAGAGAAAGGAACGGCUAACUACGGGCCAGCAGCCGCGGUAAUAC
rnacentral:rRNA from 1 species